rnacentral:rRNA from 1 species
CGCAGAUGAACGCUGGCGGCAGGCCUAACACAUGCAAGUCGAGCGGUAGAGAGGUGCUUGCACCUCUUGAGAGCGGCGGACGGGUGAGUAAUGCCUAGGAAUCUGCCUGGUAGUGGGGGAUAACGCUCGGAAACGGACGCUAAUACCGCAUACGUCCUACGGGAGAAAGCAGGGGACCUUCGGGCCUUGCGCUAUCAGAUGAGCCUAGGUCGGAUUAGCUAGUUGGUGGGGUAAUGGCUCACCAAGGCGACGAUCCGUAACUGGUCUGAGAGGAUGAUCAGUCACACUGGAACUGAGACACGGUCCAGACUCCUACGGGAGGCAGCAGUGGGGAAUAUUGGACAAUGGGCGAAAGCCUGAUCCAGCCAUGCCGCGUGUGUGAAGAAGGUCUUCGGAUUGUAAAGCACUUUAAGUUGGGAGGAAGGGCAUUAACCUAAUACGUUAGUGUUUUGACGUUACCGACAGAAUAAGCACCGGCUAACUCUGUGCCAGCAGCCGCGGUAAUACAGAGGGUGCAAGCGUUAAUCGGAAUUACUGGGCGUAAAGCGCGCGUAGGUGGUUCGUUAAGUUGGAUGUGAAAUCCCCGGGCUCAACCUGGGAACUGCAUUCAAAACUGUCGAGCUAGAGUAUGGUAGAGGGUGGUGGAAUUUCCUGUGUAGCGGUGAAAUGCGUAGAUAUAGGAAGGAACACCAGUGGCGAAGGCGACCACCUGGACUGAUACUGACACUGAGGUGCGAAAGCGUGGGGAGCAAACAGGAUUAGAUACCCUGGUAGUCCACGCCGUAAACGAUGUCAACUAGCCGUUGGGAGCCUUGAGCUCUUAGUGGCGCAGCUAACGCAUUAAGUGACCGCCUGGGAGACCA